GACGAACGCUGGCGGCGUGCCUAAUACAUGCAAGUUGAGCGAUGAAGCUUGGUGCUUGCACCAAUUUGAAGAGCAGCGCACGGGUGAGUAACGCGUGGGGAAUCUGCCUUUGAGCGGGGGACAACAUUUGGAAACGAAUGCUAAUACCGCAUAACAACUUUAAACAUAAGUUUUAAGUUUGAAAGAUGCAAUUGCAUCACUCAAAGAUGAUCCCGCGUUGUAUUAGCUAGUUGGUGAGGUAAAGGCUCACCAAGGCGAUGAUACAUAGCCGACCUGAGAGGGUGAUCGGCCACAUUGGGACUGAGACACGGCCCAAACUCCUACGGGAGGCAGCAGUAGGGAAUCUUCGGCAAUGGACGAAAGUCUGACCGAGCAACGCCGCGUGAGUGAAGAAGGGUGUCGGAUCGUAAAACUCUGUUGGUAGAGAAGAACGUUGGUGAGAGUGGAAAGCUCAUCAAGUGACGGUAACUACCCAGAAAGGGACGGCUAACUACGUG
rnacentral:rRNA from 1 species